UACGUAGGGUGCGAGCGUUAAUCGGAGUUACUGGGCGUAAAGUGUGCGCAGGCGGCCGAGCAAGUCGAGUGUGAAAGCCCCGAGCUUAACUUGGGAACUGCGCUCGAAACUACUUGGCUAGAGUGUGGCAGAGGGAGGUGGAAUUCCACGUGUAGCGGUGAAAUGCGUAGAGAUGUGGAGGAACACCGAUGGCGAAGGCAGCCUCCUGGGCCAACACUGACGCUCAUGCACGAAAGCGUGGGGAGCAAACAGG
rnacentral:rRNA from 1 species